rnacentral:rRNA from 1 species
AACGUAGGUCACGAGCGUUGUCCGGAAUUACUGGGUGUAAAGGGAGCGCAGGCGGGUAUGCAAGUUGGGAGUGAAAUGCAUGGGCUCAACCCAUGAACUGCUCUCAAAACUGUGUAUCUUGAGUAGUGCAGAGGUAGGCGGAAUUCCCGGUGUAGCGGUGGAAUGCGUAGAUAUCGGGAGGAACACCAGUGGCGAAGGCGGCCUACUGGGCACCAACUGACGCUGAGGCUCGAAAGUGUGGGUAGCAAACAGG